CUGCUGUUUCUCUCAGCUUCCCCAAAACCAUGCUGGGAGCCAGUGAUCCCAAGGCCUUCUUCUCUCAGGACUCUGCCACCUGUGUUGAGAAUGCAGCCCACCUCCAGUCCCGGGAAUAAAUGGUAUGUGUGUGUGAUCCUUCUAUAGGGAGUAUAUCACCUGCAGCAUGCAUGCAGGCAAAACUGAGAUACGUGAAAAGCAACGUUACCAGUAUGUCUAGGGGAGCAAGCUCCAAUGGCACGCGUUCACCUCCACAUUCAGACAGGUAACCCUCAGAGAAUGCAGUGACAUACAGCUCAAAUGAAACUUAAUGUGAACCAAAAAGAAAAAAAGAGCAGCUCGGCUACACAAAUCAUUGGCAAAAUGAAACCAGUUUGAAAGCCCAGCUGGGAAAAUAUGGCCAAUAACAAUUUUAAUUCUCGUGUGAUGAGUAAUGUCUCCUGGCACCUAGCAAGCAGUUGACAUCAAGCUAGCAGAAGUCAGAAAGGACACUAAAUAAUGCCAUGUUCUGCCGUGACGUCAGCGGGUGAUAAUUCUGGAGCCUACAAGUAGGCAUCAGUUCCCAAGAAGACUAAAGAUAAUAACUCACCCUUUCUGGUACUCCAUGGGUGGGCGACUGGGGAGCUGGUCUUGGCAGCAGGGGAUGCUGCCCAGUCAUGCAGUGUGACUGAAAUCCCCAGUGAGGACAAAGCCUGUCUGCUUUGGGAUGGAGUCUUAGGAGUGAGGACCAGCUCUUCUUCUGUGUGCACAGUACCCAUCACAAGCAUUCCACAGCUGUUCACCACGAAGAUUACAAAGCAGAAGAGGAAAACACCACAUGCGCCCCCUUUGUGGUGAUGUUGGAGUCACUGUGCCAUAAGAAAUCCAAAUGCUGAAACAACCAAGAAGGGAUUCCUAUGGCUUCAGAGAGGCAGGAUCUCUGGCAGAGCAUGACAUCCAUUUUUCAUGAUGAAGCUGCGGUAACAUGAUGCCAGUGGGACAACUCUAUAUGUGUCUGAAGAGAACUGGAGCAUCCUGAUGGGUUGGACAUGUAUUCUGCAUUUCCUUGCAUACACCAAAUCCAUUUUAAAAUGAUAGUCAAGAUUCUUAUGCAGUGUCUUGAUUGAAGAAGCUAGAAGGUUCAGAAAAGACUCAUAAUUGCAAGAUCUGCCAAGACUCACGAUUCGGUGGGACUGAAUUCAGAGCUGUGCAAAAUGCAAGACCAGAAAAGAACUGUGGCCAAAUUCCUUCAAAACUGUCAUGCCAAAAUGAGCUAUUGUACAGUUGGCUGCAGGCAUUAGU